GAUCCUGGCUCAAGAUGAACGCUAGCGACAGGCUUAACACAUGCAAGUCGAGGGGCAGCACAGGGUAGCAAUACUUGGGUGGCGACCGGCGCACGGGUGAGUAACGCGUAUGCAACUUACCUAUCAGAGGGGGAUAGCCCGGCGAAAGUCGGAUUAAUACCCCAUGAAACAGGGGUCCCGCAUGGGAAUAUUUGUUUAAGAUUCAUCGCUGAUAGAUAGGCAUGCGUUCCAUUAGGCAGG
rnacentral:rRNA from 1 species